UCAAGAGUCUGGUUUUCCAAACAUGAGGUAUGUUACAAAGUGGACACUAGUAAGAUUAAAACAUUUAAAUUCUGGGCUGUUUGUAACCUCUAAACAUGAAACAUUAGGUUGAGAAGGAAAGCAGAACUGAAAGUUCAGUAAAAAUAUGAAGAGUUAACAAUUCUGGUCCUACUUUUGGGACAAAAGUUUGAAAUUCUUUUUAGAAAGCAGUAACUGCUUUAGGAAACACUAAAUACCUCUGCUAAAUAAGCAGAAAUAAUGUGGUCAUUCCCUGAAAAAUGUUCACCAGUAGCAACUUUCUUAAUAGAUCACGGAUAAUACUUAAAUUUCUGUCAGUUGUUUUUAUUCGCCAAAUUAAACAGUCCUAAUAUUACCACUUAUACUUUGUGGCUUAUAACACUACUGAGUCCUACUAGUACAUAUAUUAGAGUUGAGUGGGAGCCAAGCUACAAGCUUUAUUGGCAAAGCUCAAUCGGAAAAGCUUUGGCCUAUGGCUCCAACUAAACUUGUCCUGCCCUCUUUUCCUAUACCUUGAAGUCCACCUUAAGAGGAAGAUAUUUAUUUAUUUAUUUUUUUAAGAGGAAGAUAUUUAAACCAACAGAUGCAAGAAUUGCGAAUGACCUAUGAACAGUGGGUAUUAUGUGUAAGUGAUGAAUCACUAAAUUAUACUCCUGAAACCAAUAUUACACUAUAUGUUAACUAAAAUUUAAAUAAAUGUUUGGAAGAAAAAAAGAGCCCUACAUGACUUCCACACCAUGUUAUACAGAGAAACCAAGAUUCUAAGAGAGCCUGAUGGGCCUGCCCUGGACUCUUGACUCAGUUUUGCUUACCAUAGGUGGAGGAAUGGAAACAUGUUCCGACUGGGCCUAUCAGGGUCUGAAAUAGAGCCCCAGAAGGGACUGAACCACACGUCUCCAGGAUUCUUCUCCCAGUGUCAUCAAUUGGAGAGAGGAGUCAAGCCUCCAUGGGAAUUCACACAGAGAAACUAAGCAACAGCGGAAGGUGCCCUGCUCCAGCUGCAGGGACUCAGCCAGAAAGACUGGAAUACUACAUGACUCUACCUGCAAGUUGGGGAAGGAGAAUUCAACACUAUUUGAGUAUUGAGUUGCAUUAAAUGUUUACAUAUACAUAGUAUUUUUGCUGUAUAAUAGCAUCAUGCAUUUUCUUCCAUCAAUGUUUUCUUCUCUCAUUCUUUCACUUGUUUUUGUAACUACAAGCUGUGUUGGAAUUUGCACUUCUUUACAGGUUGGAACCAGUUUGAGAAAGGGGAGACAGAAGGCAAUUUAAAUGUAUGUUAUCAUCCAAAUGAUAGGGUUCCCUAGUAAAGCUGGGUAGAGGCUUAGACCUCAUGCAAAAACAGGGUUUGCUACUGCAUCUCCAUAAACAAGCCAUGGGAUGGCCAGACAACUGCAGUUGUCCUCACUCAAGCCCACUCCAAUAGGGGACCAAGAAACUCUUUAAGUACAAAAGCUCUACACAGCUUCUAUAGGUCUUUUAAAAGGUCUGUUCUACAUUGUUUGGGAUGGUGUGAGAAAGUGAAGAGAGCGACCCCAAAUCUCUUCUCCAACACCAUGUUCUGUCAUCAGGAUUGGAGUAGAAUCCUGAAGAGGGGAAUAACAUGUAUCCCUCUGAAUGUUUGCCAGCUUUUUAAUUUUUUAAAUAUAUUACAUUGUGGGUUCCACUGGCAUCAUGUGAGUUGUUUUAAGUAGCAUACUCACAGGCAUAUUUUUUUUUUCAGUUUUAGUAAUUAUGUAUGUAUUUUCAUCUGUAGUCAGAAAGAUACCUGUUUUUUUUCCUAACAUGUUUUAACACAUAUUACCCUGAGCAAAGAUUGUAAAGUCCAUGCUGAAUACUUAAAAACAUGUAUUUGUAGAGAAGUCAUGAAGGCGGUGUACACAUGAUGGAAGGCUGAAAAACAAUGUCAUAACCCUUUGUACUCAGGCAUCAGAAGGGGACCAGGCAGCUGUCCCUCUCAGCCGAGUGGUGCAUGCUCAAAGUGCUGCUGUGCUCACACAGUCCCCAAGUCUGCUUCUCCCUACACAGAGUCCUUCUGGGACUUCUUGAAGGGCAUUUUGUUUUUUGCCCAUACAAGACUAGCACCAUGAGUCAGAUAGUACUAAGCUGAAAGUUCACUCUCUAAUUCUAUUUCUUAUCUCUAAUUAUGCCCAGUCAUGUCCAAAAUAGCUCACCAGACUUUAUGAAAUGAAUACAGAGAACUAUAUCAAUAUUAAAAUGUCCCAAAUUUGAACAAUAUGAAACUCAUUUUUGUUACUCAACUUCCCCACAAACUAAAUCCCCUUGCAAAUAAAAGCUCAUAGAGCUUUUAUUUAAAGUCCAAAUGCUCUCACUCUCCAUUUUAUACAAUUGGCUCAGUGUCAGCCAGAGGCUUUUACUCAGAGCCAAGGUUCCUAUAGCUGCAGCUGUGUCCUGGGAUUUCACAGGAAUGAGUAUAGCUUCUUCAGCCUCUUCAAAGUUGCUUCAAAUCUCUAAUUAGUUCUAGUCUCCAAGGGGUCAGCAGUCACAAAAGAAACUGUCCACUAUAGAAGUUGUCACAAACAAAACUGUGGUACCCCACUUAAGUGACUAUGUAAUGUCACCUGACACUGCUAUCAGAGCACAGCAGAUAACUUAGUAGCACCUAUGCUGGAGACAGCAAGGACCUGGUCUCAGUCCGGUGGCAAGCCAGCCAGCUGCACCAGCACUGAAUCCACGGCCUGUGAAUCUGUAUGACUGAGCAGAAAGUGCCCAUCAAUAGUUGUGCUUCCACAUAUUUAAUAUAGGUAUUCCUUUGCUUUUGCUGUUGUUAUUGUUUUGUUUUGGUCAUGUGUCCCGGGUCUCCCAUAUAUAUUACCUACUUUCUCUCAGAGAGUGACAUUUGAGACAUUAUUGCCUUCUUCAAAAAUGUAGAUAGGUAUUCUGGUUUCUUCAUUUCCUUGUGUCUUGUGUCUCAUGUUUUGGCUACUUUGGUACAAGAUUGUGAGACCACAAGUCUAGAGAAAACUUCUACUCCCAAAUUCUUCCAAGUCUGUUCUCUCUAGAACAGGGAAGUACACUCUCCUCUGUAAAUGCAUGAGGAAUGGGAUAAUGAACAUCACCGUACUCCCUUAGUACUAUGUUUAACUUACUAGUAUAUGACGUUUUACUUAUUCUGAAAAUGGUAAUUGUCAUCUCUCUUCCAUAGACGUUUCAUUCCUACCUAGGCAGGUUGAGUUGGGCCAGGCAAAGCAGUAGUUGGCCAGAAUCAAGAUUCUAAGAAAAUAAAAUACUGUGAUCACAGUAAGAGGCAAUGAGUCAGGAUUAGUCUUUUGUCAAGAAGUAAAAGAAGGAUAACAAAGUUUAGCAAAACUUUAAGGAGAUUCUAGAUAUCACAGAUUAAAAUAGUCAAAAGUUAGUAUUCCAAAGAGUUGCACCAUUGAAAAGAUAGAACCCAAGCACAAGCCAAAAAGAUUCCAAAAAACUUAAAUUCAGGACAGAAACUUUUUUAAAAGCUUUUUUUAAAAUUUUUUAUUUAUUUAUGAUAGUCACACAGAGAGAGAGAGAGAGAGGCAGAGACACAGGCAGAGGGAGAGGCAGGCUCCAUGCACCGGGAGCCUGACAUGGGACUUGAUCCCAAUUCUCCAGGAUCGCGCCCCAGGCAAAAGGCAGGCGCUAAACCGCUGCGCCACCCAGGGAUCCCCAGGACAGAAACUUUUCUAGUCUCUCUUAUUCCUUCCUGCCUCCAUAGGAUCGGACUACUGGUGUAAGGAGAGAGAUUGCAGAUGGGAAGGAAGUGGUGCCAAGAGCUGCAGCUGCAAAAACUGCAAAUGAAUCUACAGUUAUCUCAAAAUAAAAUGAUUACUUUUAAAAAGUCAAAACUUGGAGGCCAAGAUAAGGAAACCAGUAUGUCAGUUUGGCAGUUACAACAUGAGCUUUGAAUAUGUGACAUCAUAAUGGCAGUGACCGCGGACCGCUGCGGAAUCUUCAGGCUUCAAGCAUUUGACAGUACUCUGCCAAGUGCUGUAGACUCACUCGAUUUCCCGUCCCGCGAAUUGAAGAGAAAAGGAUGUUCCCGUCAAUCAGAAAGCACGCUGAGCUUACAGGUGGACAUUCAAGGCUUCAGCGCAUGAGGAAGAGCUCGUCUGUGGAGGUGGACACCCACAGCGAAAGCACUACAUCAUCUGAGGGUGCCACUCGUACCUUGCUCAUCCAUGGCCCCGUUGAGCUCAAGAAAGGCUGGAGGAGGCAGAAGUGGCAGCUUUUCUUGUACAGCGAUUUAUUACUGAUGUCUAAUACCAAGCUGCAGAGAUGAAAAUGGGAACAGAGGAAGUCUCAGAAAUGGUCCAGUCAUACAUAGGGAAAUCAUGCAAGAGGUUCCAACCCAGGCCUGCCUUCAUCAGAAGGCCAUGUUCUUCCUUCCAUACCAUGUUGUACCCUUCCAUCCUUAGCCCAAGAGACA